UUGAGAUGUAAUUUUGUAAUAAAAAAUGUAUUUUAUAAAAUUUUGUAGAAUUGCGAAUAAUUAAUUGUUAAUUAAAUCUGAUUCUCCUAGAUUUUGAUCACAUGAUUUUGUUUUCGUCCGAUGAUGUCAUACGAUAAACGAUGUAUACAUACUAAUUCUUUUCCGACCUUCGUCGCUAGAGCUUUGAUCCCAAGACAGCGUUUUUCUUUUUUUUUUUUGUUUUUAUCUCUGAAAUGGCGAUUCUUCUCAGCAUUUCUACAAAACUAUAUGAUUUAUCAAGGGAGCGGAACGAGAGAGCGACCCUUUCGCUACCAAUGGUCAUUCCAGGCAUUCAACAGGUGGUCCAGUUUACGUGAAAUGUUGAUGAAAACCUUCGACGUGUGCCCAUCCCCACCGCCUCCAUUGUGCGCCGAGGGCGGCGAUGGAAGUUCGGAAAAAGGAUGCCUCGAGGAAAUUACACUUGCGUGAAAAGUUUUCCACGAAUUGGACACUCGAUAGUUUCGUAUCAACGUAUCGAAUGUCAGUUUGGUUGCCAGACACUUUGACAACGACGAAGAAAUGACUAUUCUUUUUCACGUUUUCGAGUGAAUCGUUUUAUCUUUGAUCGAGAAUUAAUCGUAGAAGAAGAUUGAAGUAUCUUUUAGGAUCGAAGAAUAGUUUGAU